GUGCCAGCAGGCGCGGUAAAUACGUAGGAGGCAAGCGUUGUUCGGAAUCAUUGGGCUAAAAGAGCGUGUAGGCGGAGUGGCAAGUGUCGGGUGAAAGCCCAUCGGCUCAACCGGGGAAUGGCCAGGCAAACUGCUGCUCUUGAGGCAGGUAGAGGUGAGUGGAACGGCUGGUGGAGCGGUGAAUGCGUAGAUAUCAGUUGGAACGCCGGUGGCGAAAGCGGCUCGCUGGACCUGUCCUGACGCUGAGACGCGAAAGCGUCGGUAGCGAACAGGAUUAGAUACCCUGGUAGUUCCACGCCGUAAACGAUGCGCACUAGGUAUGAGAGGUUCUGACGCCGAUCGCGCCGAAGGAAAACUACUAAGUGCGCCGCCUGGGGAGUAGGGCCGCAAGGCUAAAACUCAAAGGAAUUGACGGGGGCUCACACAAGCGGUGGAGCAUGUGGAUUAAUUCGAAGCAACGCGCAGAACCUUACCUGGGUUUGACAUGCACGGAUGCUCUCUUGGAAUCAGGAGUAGGCUGCCUUCGGGUGAAACGUGCACAGGUGCUGCAUGGCUGUCGUCAGCUCGUGCUGUGAAGUGUCGGGUUAAGUCCCUUAACGAGCGAAACCCCUAUCGUUAGUUACCAGCGGGUCAUGCCGGGGACUCUAGCGAGACUGCCGGUGUUAAACCGGAGGAAGGUGGGGAUGACGUCAAGUCCUCAUGGCCUUUAUGCCAGGGUUUCACACGUGCUACAAUGGGAUGGACAAAGCGACGCAAAACCGCGAGGUCAAGCAAAUCGCACAAACCAUCCCCCAGUUCGGAUUGGAGUCUGCAACCCGACUCCAUGAAGUUGGAAUCGCUAGUAAUCGCGUAUCAGCCAUGACGCGGUGAAUAUGUUCCUGAGCCUUGUACACACCGCCCGUCAAGUCAUGGGAGCUG
rnacentral:rRNA from 1 species